UAUGCCUACGGGGCGCAGCAGUGGGGGAUAUUGCACAAUGGGGGGAACCCUGAUGCAGCGACGCCGCGUGGGUGAAGAAGCGCCUCGGCGCGUAAAGCCCUGUCAGCAGGGAAGAAAAUGACGGUACCUGAAGAAGAAGCCCCGGCUAACUACGUGCCAGCAGCCGCGGUAAUACGUAGGGGGCAAGCGUUAUCCGGAUUUACUGGGUGUAAAGGGGGCGCAGACGGCGAUGCAAGCCAGGAGUGAAAGCCCGGGGCCCAACCCCGGGACUGCUCUGGAAACUGUACGGCUGGAGUGCAGGAGAG
rnacentral:rRNA from 1 species